rnacentral:lncRNA from 1 species
GCUUCUCUUGCUCUGUUCAGCAAGUAGUCCUUCCGCCACCAGCUUCACCACUCUCCACUGGACGAGAACUGCUGCUUAUGCUUAACAAGAGACUAGUAGUGAUAGAGAAAAUAUUUUAGUGUACGACCAAAAGCAGGAGUUCAGUCUACGUUGGUACUUUCUAUGAGUGGAAGAAGGCGUAACUUGCUCUAAUGUUGAGUCGUGUUAACAGCAAUGGAGGCUUUUGGAGCUAUUUUAUGUGUGACUGCAGACUUGACAGUGAUCACGCGUUAAUGAACUCUUCAGUGGAUGGAAACAGUGACGUCAACAGAGAGAACACCAGAUAGAAAAAAGAUGAGGAUGACAGUCAAUCAGUGUGUGGCUUUGAUUACACAGCCACACCGUCCACCAGCCACUUGUUACCCACCACCUUGCCCAUCACCACUCACUCAUCUGCCCUCAGUGUUCAGUAGUAUACCAGUUAACUCAACCAAAACCAGCGUCACCCAGCCACCAAUAACCACCGAGAACUCAACCAUAGGCCACCUCCCCCUCACCCAUUGUUUCGACCAUCGGAUUUUUCUCAAGGGUGAAUAAAAGUCGUUCCUCUCUACAUGUGAUCCACUGUGAAGAAAUACUCCAUCAAAACAUUUGUUCGAGUCAUCCAAUAUGUACCAACGGCUUCUUAGUAACCGUCAACACACUGAGGUGAGGAGGCAGGUGGACUUCUCUCAGGCCACCAGAGGAUGACUACAUGAUAGUCUUGAUAAUGGUGAAGGUGGGCAGGUGUGGCGACUUGACAUCUUAAGGACUGUUUCUGCAACAUCUUAGUCGAUCUGAAAAUUUCUUGUAGUGAAGUCUUGAUAUAGAGUUACCAUGUAUUACCCAGAUAAUAGUACAUGGUUGAUUGUGUCACGUAAAUUACUUGCAUGUUGAUAUUUGAUUUAUUAUGACUUAAUAGAGUAUUAUUAUUUAAAGGUGCUUUGGAACUUGAACUCUGAAUUCGACACAUUCAUUCCUUACUUGGUCUUUUAUAUUCAAUCUCCUCACAACCCGAAGCCAAAUAAUCUUAACACUUUCAGUAACUCACUGACAUUACGAUUAGGACUUUCAUGCCAGGUAUUUCAUCGUAAUAUUUUCCUUGACACAUUCUAUAAAUCCAUAGAUAGGGGCUUUCGUAUAUUAAUAGCUGAUGCCUUUGUUACUCAUGUUUCCUCUCGUCCACGUAGACCAUAUUAGUGUGUGGUAUUACUUGUACCAUACACUGUACUCUACACUUAACCUAACACCUAAUAUUUCGCUUAACAGUUUAGAGGUUUCUUUUAUCUAGAACUACUAAGGAAAACUACCAUAAUGUACUAUAACUAUGAGAUAUCUAAAUCACGACCAUUUAUAUCCUUUAUUACAAAAAUUUUAAAAUACAUAGGAUUUUAAUUAUAUUCAACGAUGCGUUAUUGGUAAUCUAUGUAAUGCAUUAUAAAAGUUUACUUACUAAAAUAUUACAGUAAAUAUUUCAUAAUAUAUUUUUUUUCUUCUAAAUUUGUUGUUUCAAUUUUUUUUCUUCAUACAUUGCAAAAGUUCAGCACUGGAAAAUUACUUGGUAACUCCACUUAAGACUUUAGGUAUAGUUAGCCAUAUUAUACACUAUUACUCCAGCAGCAAGACAUCCACCACUCUUCUUCACAGUUUCUUCUUCAACACUCCCUCACUUCCUCCCCAGUUUCUCCUACAUUCCUCACCUUUCUUCAGUAUAAGUCGGUGUUGAGGUUAAUGUCCAGACGUAGGUAAAAACCAUCAGUGUGAACCCAAAUUGUUCCAGCAGUGUCAUGGUAGUAACACUCUUGGUCGAGCCUCAUACUAUCUUCCACACAAUAGUUCUUACGUAACAUAAAGUAGCAGAAUUUUACUUUAUUUUACUUAGAUUUUUUAUGUUUUGGGGGGGUGGGAGACACGAGAGCUUUUUAUGCCAUCCUUCUGUAUAAUCUUUCCACGCUUUACAUUGUAUCUUUGUAUGGAGGGAGAGGUGAGAGUUUGUUACUCCAUCUCUCUCCCUCCAUACACUCACAAUUCCCUCUCACUCACAUUAUGUGGAGGUGGAGGUGAGAGUUUGUUACUCCAUCUCUCUCUCUCCUCAUACUCUAAUUCCCUCUCACUUACAUUAUAUAAGAGGGAGAGGUGAGAGUUUGUUACUCCAUCUCUCUCUCUCCUCAUACUCUAAUUCCCUCUCACUUACAUUAUAUAACAGGGAGAGGUGAGAGUUUGUUACUCCAUCUCUCUCCCUCCUCAUCCUCUAAUUCCCUCUCACAUUAUAUAAGAGGGAGAGAUGAGAGUUUGUUACUCCAUCUCUCUCCCUCCUCAUCCUCUAAUUCCCUCUCACUUACAUUAUAUAACAGGGAGAGAUGAGAGUUUGUUACUCCAUCUCUCUCCCUCCUCAUCCUCUAAUUCCCUCUCACUUGUAUCCUUCUAACCGUACUUAGAAGUAUCUUUCUCUACGACCGCUUAUUCCAUUUCUUUCUCAAAUAAACUGGAUUAUUAUCACACCUGACACCUUUCACAACGAGCUCAUUUACAUUCACACCUGGUGGGAAAAGACCUGACUCACAUACCUGUUAAUGUUAGAGUGUUCGUUAGUUCACUUAAAUAAUUACAGAUGUGUGAAGGCUCUAUUAAUUUGUGGUCAUAUGGGUUUUAAUAAGCUCUUAGACUAUAUUAACACAAUUACAAUUAGAAUUUAAGCCAAUUAGGAUAAGGAACCACUAAAAUUAGGGCUCUUAUUAGGCUACAGGUUCAUGUAGGUCCAAUCAGAAUUAGGACUAUGGGAGGGGGGAAGCUCAUUGGCCAAUAACCGUGUUGAUAGAGUUACCGUAAAUGCUCUAAACCUUCUUUGUUUAUCUCAGAAAUGUAUAUCUAGUUUUCCUCUCGUUGACUUUUUAAGAAAUGUAUAAGAUCUUGUUAUGUACAGUAUUAUCUUUUUUUUUAUGUACAGUAUAACAUGUCUUAUAUAUUACUACCUUGGUCUAUACUAUGUUCUUGAUAUAUAUACUAUGUAGCCUGUGUGUUAUAUGCUUUUUACUUACUAUGCAUUAUGUACAGUUACGGACAAAAGUCUCAUCGCCUCUUCUGCUGUUCCAUGGACUCCGAGAAUCAAACUCGUGAAUCCGAAGCAUUUAUGGACACAAUAAUACACCAGUGUCUAUUGCUUCGGGGUUAUAAGUCUGAAUCUCGGGGUUCGUGGAGCAACAGGAAGAGGGGUGACAAGAUUUUAAACUGUGACUUCCUAUUGAAAUUGUAAAUUAUCUUUGUGUUUAUUAGGAACAUUGUCAAAAUAUUUAGCACAAACAACAACUUUAUUGGUUUUGUAUAAUUUAUAUCUGUAAUCCUUCAAUUAAAUAAAAUUCAGAUUU